GGUAUAAGACAAAUCUACUGGCAUCUUGUUAAAAGAUGAUUGAGUGGCACCAGCAGCAUGAACCUAGGGUCUGUCUGCAUCCUGGACUUUCUGUGAUGCGUACACCCCUGGCCUAUGGCACCUGCCCAUCUCCCUGCUCAGCCCAGGCACUUUGUAGACAGAACCUCACUGCUGACCAGAGUUUGGAACCUUGAGAAGAUGGCGAAAGCCUGUACGUGUUGGUGUCCAACAUGUUACAUGAAGGGUUUCCCACAGAGACACACAGCAAAGAAAACACCUAAGAGAAGGAACAAAAGUGAGGCACACAUGCUUUGGCUGAAGAAGCUUCUAGACACCAUGAAGUACCAAGUCACAUUUGUUCCCAUUGUUGACUCAAAGAACGAUGGGUCCCGCUGCAAGCCUAAGGCCACUGUAAUCAUCGUCGAGCUUGCUUCUCCACCCCAGGGUCUCUAAAUAAAACCUCUUCUUUCUCGGAAAAAAAUGUUUCUGAGUGUAAUUAUUUAGCUAAGAAGUAAUCUGUGGUCCCUGGAGUAUCCC
rnacentral:lncRNA from 1 species